rnacentral:rRNA from 1 species
UACGGAGGGUGCAAGCGUUAUCCGGAUUCACUGGGUUAAAGGGUGCGUAGGUGGGUUGGUAAGUCAGUGGUGAAAUCUCCGAGCUUAACUUGGAAACUGCCAUUGAUACUAUCAGUCUUGAAUAUUGUGGAGGUUAGCGGAAUAUGUCAUGUAGCGGUGAAAUGCUUAGAUAUGACAUAGAACACCAAUUGCGAAGGCAGCUGGCUACGCAUAUAUUGACACUGAGGCACGAAAGCGUGGGGAUCAAACAGG